UGGGCCACGCUGCCACAUUUCUUGGAGCUUCCAGUGACAUGAGAGUCAGCAACCGUACACCAGCUGGUUACAUCCCAAACGAUCGGUUUUCCUUGUCUUACUGGUAUCAGUGUCAUCCCAUCCGGUCUUUGUGCGGUGGUUGAUGACAAGCCGUUUGGUUCCAUCUCACAAGGAAAACCAGCGCUUUCACAACAGUUUUUCGCGAUGCUGUUCAUUUCUUUAUGUCUCGCCCAUCGUCCUUUAGUCGUUUGGUUGCAGGAUAGUCCAUGAUGGCCGUUGCUUUCGACUUGUUUACCACAUGCGUUGCAGUUGUGCGCCACCACUACUGGUAAACCAAAUCGCAAACCAACACCGAUACGUACAUCUUCAUCCUUCAGGAAUGUCCCCAAACAAGGUGCGGGGUAACGCAUUCAGCCAGGCUCCCGAAUCUCUGUUUAAAGCUGACAGCAAAACCGCCCUGGCGCGCUCAUUACCUUCGGUAGACGACAUUAAUGUGGAUAUGUCCCGUUCGAUCACUGGCGUGUCCCAGGCGUACUGGCGUGUUCGAUCACUUGGCUUUUUUGGUUCAUAUUCCGCCAUUGUGGUGACAACUUUUUAAUGCGUUCAAUUCCACCUCCAGAGAUGCGGAAACAAGGAACUGGGCUAACAUGGGAGUUCUGUUAUCUGGCAUCGUUCUUAGUUCCAUUAUCCGUGUAUUUUUGAUAUACAUCUGGUCACCCCGUAUUCCACUAAGAAUCUUCAACGGCCAUACUAAUCGUGUUCUUGUGGAGAUUGAGGGAGAAUUUGGAAAACCACGCCUAGCGAGAGUCUGUAAAUCGUUUUGCCGAUGCUGCGACUGCUUGCCGGCUGGAGCGCGCCGACUGCUUUGCGGAUGCUGCUCAUGUCUGACAGACUAUAAAAAGCAGAAAAUCAAAUUUGUACUUGGGAUCCGGAGGAACUUUCGCAAGACCGGUGGAGCUCAAGAAAGGCGUACUGAAAGUUUCAGUUUGCAAAGAAGGUCGGGAAAAUAGUGGCUUUAUUAGACUGGAUCAAUUGGAAUAUUUUCAGACCACAAUUAACGACUACGGAUCCAGCCGUAAUUUUGAUAUUGUUGCGACGGGUGUUAAAAAUGGUCCGGUCAUUGCAAAAUGGGUAGUUCCACCUUAUAUUGCCAGGAUUAAUGGGACGCAUAUAUCUGGGCACCGGUUAAUGACUUGAUGAGUGUAUGAUGCGCUGUACUUGUCGAAUAACGUCCUAAAUACCAAAUGAUCCCCCGUAAACGACUCAUCUGGGACCGGAUGCCCAUGCCGGCACAAACUGGCAACGGACAUGUAAUUUGCCGCAUUACGCCAUCCUGAUGGUGGUGAUGACGGUGUGUUGCUGGCUGCCGGCAUCUUCACGCGGCGACAACGAGAAAAUCUCCAGCUCCACUAUAUCGCUACCACCAGAUGAUAAUGUAAAUUAUCCCGCCAUGUGCGGGAGCCUGUUUGACGAUGCUUAGCAGAACGUCAGCGGCUUCUUCCAUACACCGUGGCUGGACCGGUCAUUUUGCUCCUAUCCGCAGCGCAUUCACUCCGCGCUAGACGAUCCACUGCAGGAAUGCGUACCGACCAGUGCCAGUAUUCUGGAGGAUUUUUUAUUCAUGUGUGAUGUAACACCCGGACGCCGAUCGCGGGCUAACUACCGGCGCUGGCGACUGCCGUUCUGCGCUGACUACUCCGUGGAGCGCAUAUUCGGCAAUUACGAUGAUUGUCUCUUCAAGGAAGACCGAGCAAACUGCCGGAAGUGCGUAGAGAAUGUCUAUAACAUUGAUCAGUAUGCCAAGUUCGUUUAUUGCCACUUUGUCAAAGAUAUUCUGGCGCGUUUCGACUGCGAGACGCCGUUUUCUGUGAAAUGGAAUUGCAGCCACUGCCAGAUAAUUGAGAAAUCCGUUCGACGUUAUAACGGAACAAAAACAAGAUGCCUGAGGUCUGAGCGUCCAUUCGCGAAACUUAGCCGUCAAUCUCGCCUUUGGAAAAGCGUAAUAUCGCUAUACUUCUAUACAUCUUGUGAAUUACUUUGUACAAAUUUGGUUUGGAAGCGCUCAGUGGGUCCAUCAUUGCAUUAGCCACCAGUCGCUACGAUUACGAUGCCAUUCGCACCAAUACCACUGCAAAGACAUUCGAAAGAGUCGGUUUGUUGGUCGCUCUCAACCAGGCGCUGAAGUGUGUCGGAUCCAUUCUGAUUGCUCCGCUAAUACAACGGUUUCCCCCGAAAACCGUCCUCACCGCCGCCGUAUUCGUUUUUUGGACUUUUUACAGCAAUUUUGUUAAUUGUUAACGCAGCAACAGGUGGGUACAUUAAGCCGGCAGACUGGGAGGAAAAGCACAAGAAAGGGGAUUAUUCGUAUUAAGGAACAUAUUAUACGGAUGGUAUUAUCCCGAUUUACUGCGUAACCGGCAUCGCGUACGGCAUGGUGGAGUUAAUUCGGCGCGUCGUUCUCAAAGACAUAUUGUCGGUGGGGAUGUGAAGGAGCUGAUCCGGAUGGAUUCACUACCUAGUCCAUAUUCGCUACGAAGUUAGCGGCACAUUGGGCGCAUUUGCCACCGCGCUGGCAUUAAUUCCAGCUCUGGGGAACAACAUGUCCUUCAUUAUCACACCACUUUUGUACACCGCUGCAGCAAUCACCUGGUGGUUUAUUUCCGAUUUAGGAUUCCAGAAGAAAAAACUGGGCAAGCUCGAACAACAAGCCAGCUAUAUUAAAGCCAUCGUAGGGGGAUUUUAUCUGUUUGCUGCGUCCAUAUGGACGAGCAAAAAUAAUAUUCACCAGCUGGAAAUUUAUAUGGCUGCUUAACAGUUAUGCGGUUGCUUUGUACGGUCACCGGUCUUUGUAGAAUGCUUUAGCACCUGUCAUAUUGCCAAACGAUAUUUAGGAGAGUCGGCAUGGUCGCAAGUUGUGGUCAGCGGGUCCGGUAUCUCCACCGGGCGCGGUCAUGGCGUUCCCGUACUCAACGCACAUAAUAAUACACAAGUAUGCCAUAUUUUUAACAUUGUGGUGGCUUAAUUGGACAAAG